GAGUUUGAUCAUGGCUCAGAAUGAACGCUGGCGGCAGGCUUAACACAUGCAAGUCGAACGGGGUUAUAUUGUAGCUUGCUAUAGUAUAACUUAGUGGCAGACGGGUGAGUAAUGUAUAGGAAUCUACCUAGUAGUACGGAAUAAUUGUUGGAAACGGCAACUAAUACCGUAUACGCCCUACGGGGGAAAGAUUUAUCGCUAUUAGAUGAGCCUAUAUUAGAUUAGUUAGUUGGUGAGGUAAAGGCUUACCAAGACAAUGAUCUAUAGCUGAUCUGAGAGGAUGAUCAGCCACACUGGAACUGAGAUACGGUCCAGACUCCUACGGGAGGCAGCAGUGGGGAAUAUUGGACAAUGGGCGCAAGCCUGAUCCAGCCAUGCCGCGUGAGUGAAGAAGGCCCUCGGGUUGUAAAGCUCUUUUGUCCGGAAAGAAAAGCACUCGGCCAAUACCCGGGU
rnacentral:rRNA from 1 species